UGCCGUGCAACUCCUUCUUUUUCUGCUCCAGGAACAGCCGGCCAAGGAAACAAAAGAAACAACUCAAAGCUCUUCAAAUUCCAUCUUCAUUUCUUCAACAAAACACCACCAAACUCCACCAAAAUUGAACCACACCUAGCUAAUCACUUGGUGAUCAUCUUAAGCUAGAAAAGGGGCUUCAUUUCCACGGUUUUCUUGAGCUUCAAAGUGACCAAAAAUUCUGAUUUAGUCAUCAAGAGAGGCGCUCAAGGGGACCUUCAAGAGGAACUAGAAGUGGACGCCUAGACACUUGUUUGAGUAUUUACUCUCUUGUUGCAAUAGGGUUCGAGACCAAUGGUGCUCGUGAGUAGUACUAGAUUGUUUUCUUUUGAAAACUUUAAGUUAUAUUAUAACGGAUGGCUAUUGUACAAUUUUCCGUUGAGUUGUAUUUAAACUUGAAAGUUACAUAAUUGUAAGUGUGAGAUAUUUGAAAUACUUUAAUUAUAUAUUGAAGUUACUUAAAAUAUUUCGAGCUUUUGAAUGAUGGAUUGUAGUGAGUCCUGGCGAGAGCUGGGCAGGCGUCCCGCGGAUACCCUUUGAUUCGCCUUAGGGAGAAGUGUGGGCGUCACAAAUAGCAAGCAACUACUAAUAGUUUAUUGAUCAAGCUUACAAAUAGGAAGCAAACUUAAGCAGUAUUCUAUCAAACAUUAGGCAAGUUAGUUAUAAGCAUUGUGAUUGACCUGAAGGGAUGUAAUCAGCAAAGCAAGCAAAAGGCCAAUGUUACUGUAGCAGCUCCUCUUACUAACACGUGGCACAUUGGAUGAAUUUUGAACCUUUUCUUUUGCUUUGUCUAUGGACUUUACAUUGUUUACUUUUCCCAAACUACCACGUAAGACAUCUUCUACACUGAGCCAUGUGGUUGACUCUAGGGAGGGAGUCUACUGGGGAGAAAUUUUUUUCCAUUUUGUGGCCUCAGAAUGUUGACUACUUCUGUGAAUAGUAUACCACUAUUGAGGGCAUUUGUGUCUUUUUAUGUAAAAUUACUACUUUGUCCAGUGAAAAAAAAAUGGCUCUCAAAACAGUAACUAACUAUUUAGGGCUGUUUGUGACUUUUUGCCUGCCAUUCUUCUCCUAUCUUUGGCUGUGUUUUCCAUUCCUUUCCUUUGUACAUCAGACACAAUCAAGAAUAGUAGCUGAACUGCUUCUAUGCAUGGUUAGAAAAAACAAAGAAGCAGAGGAGAAGAAAAGAGAACUCCAACAAGAAAGAGUUCUGGAGAAAGGGCUGUAGGAAAACAAAUACAGCUAUUCAAGCAAGUCAAGGUUUUGUGAAAUCUCAUAGACCAAUGGCCAUCAAAAGUGUUUGAUAAAAUGUUUGUGUGAAACUUGGGAUAGCAGAGAAAACACUGAGAGAAUGAUCGCACAGGGACCAAGGGGGACAUUGUUGACACCAUUAACGGUGAUUCUGGCAAGUGACUUUAUUCUGGGAAUGAUGGAUUUGAGAUAAACUUGGCUAAUGCGGUGGCUUAUUCUCUCCUAGGAGUGCUAAUGGGCUUGUCAAGAGUAUUGGAGCUGGUGGAGUUGAGAGCAGAAGUCAGCAAACUUUUGUGGGUUCUGGUGUUGGAAAAGAAAUUAUCCCUCAGGCAUCUAAGCCAGCUCAAGAGAAGAAGCCCCAGGUUUCUACUGCUAAUGGUCAUGCUACAGCCCCUGCUGCUAAAAACUUUUGGCUUAAGACCCAAAAAUCUAUCCAUAUUGAGAUAGAAUGUACCAUUAGAUGUCCAUCAUGCAAGGAAGAAAUUGGAGUUGAAGCGAGGUAAUGGCAAAAUAUGAUAGGCGUCGCUUGGGAUUUGUGGUAAAUGAUGUAACAGGAUCUUUACAUACUGCAAUUUUCAGUCCAUAUGUUUAGAAAUUGUUAUCAUAUACCGCUCUUCAUCUAGCCAGCUGAUGACCAAAAAAUCCAAGGACAAAAGGUCAGCGAAGAACAACACUAUCAAAGCAUACACUACUGAGGUUGGAGGUCAAAUUUCAAUAGCAAUCCCAAAUGAAGAUCACAAAAGAUGUUCCCAAAUUUCAUAUCAAUGCUCAAGAUCCUUUAUGAUGGCGUUCUCAUAAAGAACUUGAUGGAGUAAACGCAAGUUAGCAAUCUAAUUAGUGGGCGGUUUGGAUGAUUGCAGCUCUCAGCUCCAUUAGUUUUUAGCAUAUAUAAUGGAACCAAUCAUUAUAGCAUUUUUUUUUUCCUUUUUGGCUUUGGAUUCUUGAAAAAAUUAUUGUUGAGAUUUUAAGUAGGAUAUAAAUUAUGUCAAUAUCUUUGAAACUACAAAAUUGAAAUACAAUUCUAGACUUUUACCUAAAUGAAAAA